CCUAUGGGGGGCAGCAGUCGCGAAAACUUCACACUGGGGGAAACCCCGAUGAGGGAAUUCCUAGUGCCUGCGCAAUUGCGUUUGGCUUUUCUUUAGCGUAGAUAACUAAAGGAAUAAGGGCUGGGUAAGACGGGUGCCAGCCGCCGCGGUAAUACCCGCAGCCCUAGUGGUGGUCGACAUUAUUGAGUCUAAAACGUUCGUAGCCGGUUUGGUAAAUCUUUGGGUAAAUCGGGGGGCUUAACCUUCCGAAGUCCGAGGAGACUGCCAAACUUGGGACCGGGAGAGGCAAGAGGUACUUUUAGGGUAGGGGUAAAAUCCUGUAAUCCUAAAAGGACCACCGGUGGCGAAGGCGUCUUGCUAGAACGGAUCCGACGGUGAGGGACGAAGCCCUGGGUCGCAAACGGGAUUAGAUACCCGCGUAGUCC
rnacentral:rRNA from 1 species